rnacentral:rRNA from 1 species
GGGGGGGGGGGGGGGGGGGGUGGACGGGUGGGGGUGGGGCGGGAAGGGGCUGCUUGGGGGGGGUGCUCGAGUGGCGAACGGGUGAGUAACACGUGAGUAACCUGCGCUGGACUGUGGGAUAACUUCGGGAAACUGGGGCUAAUACCGGAUAGGAGCUCCUGCUGCAUGUUGGGGGUUGGAAAGUUUCGGCGGUUGGGGAUGGACUCGCGGCUUAGCAGCUUGUUGGUGGGGUAGUGGCUUACCAAGGCUUGGACGGGUAGCCGGCCUGAGAGGGUGCCCGGCCACAUUGGGACUGAGAUACGGCCCAGACUCCUACGGGAGGCAGCAGUGGGGAAUAUUGCACAAUGGGCGGAAGCCUGAUGCAGCAACGCCGCGUGCGGGAUGACGGCCUUCGGGUUGUAAACCGCUUUCGCCUGUGACGAAGCGUGAGUGACGGUAAUGGGUAAAGAAGCACCGGCUAACUACGUG